UCUAUGAAAAAAAAUAUUGAACCAACUCACGCGCAUCAUUACGUAGUUGUGACCAAAAUGACGUCGCGAUGACAUUGCGCUCGUGGACGACCGGGAGGCUUAAAAUGGCAGAGAGCAAAUAUUUGGUUCCACCAGAAGCGGCCUCGUCUACCGAUAGCUCUUCGUCUGAAGACAAAGUUAUUAUUCAAAACAUCACCGAACGUCAAGACGAUGUAUCUUCUGACUUCAGCUCAGAACCAAGGUCCCUUCGUUCGUCUUUAGAAAACUUGGAUCUUAUUCAUGAUAGUCCAAUGCAAGAACCUUUACGACAUUAUCUGAUGAAGAUACGGUUCCACUGACUCCAGUAAUACGUAGUAUUUUUCCUUCGGACACACCACCCAAUCCGCUCCCAAAUUUAAAUUCAGUUUCGUCAAUUUUAUCACCACUUAAUACUCCAUUAAGCCAAAGAGUUCGCUCAAAAAGAAGUGCUUACUGUGAACCAAGAGUUGUAGCUAAAGGAGUAAAAAGUACAAGAGACCUCUUCUUAGUUUCAAGUGGCAGCGUGGGAAAUUCAAAUAUCCAGCAGAGUUUGAUAUGCCUGAUGUUAGCACUAGUAGUACCGCAACAGAAUUUCCGUUAGACUAUUUUCUUAAUUUACUCUUACUUCUCUUAUUUACGGAGCACACCAAUUUAUAUUCUGUGCAAAACAAAGAAGGUAAAUCUAUAAACGUUACCAGAGAUGAUGUGCGUGAUUUUCUAGCUAUCACAAUUAUGAUGGGUAUUGUAAGAAUGCCGUCAUAUUGAGACUACUGGAGUAAUGAUUUCAGAUACCCUCCUGUCGCUGAUGUGAUGAGUCUAAAAAAGUAUGAGCUAAUGAGAAAAUAUUUGCAUUUCGUGGAUAAUUUGGAUCUGAAUAACGAUCGUUAUUUUAAGGUUCGGCCGAUAUUAAAACAAAUUAGUGGGCCUUCUGUGUCUAGACUAGACCUACAGAUGCUGUAAGAUUUGAUAAAAUUGGGCAUUUUCCAGUUUUGUACAGCGAGGUAGGUGCAAAUAUUGCAAAACUGGGUAUUCAAAUAUCCACUGUUCAAAAUGUGAACAACGUUUGUGUUUAGUUCCCGAAAGAAACUGUUUCUUUAACUUUCAUAAUGUAUGAUAAAUAUGUUUUUUUAAUA